rnacentral:rRNA from 1 species
UACGUAGGGUGCGAGCGUUAAUCGGAAUUACUGGGCGUAAAGUGUGCGCAGGCGGCGUUGCAAGUCGAGUGUGAAAUCCCCGAGCUUAACUUGGGAAUUGCGCUCGAAACUACGAUGCUCGAGUAUGGCAGAGGAAGGUGGAAUUCCACGUGUAGCGGUGAAAUGCGUAGAGAUGUGGAGGAACACCAAUGGCGAAGGCAGCUUCUUGGUCCAUAUCUGACGUUGAGGCACGAAAGCGUGGGGAGCGAACAGG